rnacentral:lncRNA from 1 species
CGGGCCGGGGUUCUAUCGCUGUCAUCCAGGGCCCGCCCGCCCACCUCAGGGACCGUGAGAGCGAACCGGGAGUGCGGGGGAGGAGCGGCUGGGCCCGCCUGGGCAGGGGCCGCCCAGGAGAGGCGGGGCCUUGACCCCGGGCCUCGAUCUAUGGCACGGUGUCUUUCCGGGUGUCGCUGGGAAAUUGAGGAUAGGAAGUCACGGCCACUUGGUUCUUGGGACACUGUAUAGCAGUGAGCUGCCUUGCCUCUGCCACCUGUCGGUGGGAUGGGGCUGCUGGUGCCUGGGGUCCCCUGUGCUCCCCCGGAACCGAAAGGCUGUUCCCUAGUCCCCGCCGGCAAAGAGCCCACCUUUGGGGGACCGAAGUGGGGAAGCUGAUUGCCCCAAGAGAGGCCUGAUUCUUGUUCUCACCAGGAGAUAAUGGUCCUUGUGAGGCUUUGGAUCCAUAGAGUCAUCCACAGUUCACCCACCCAUCCUCAGCCUCCAAGAAAACUCCAGUGACCCUUUUCUGGAAAGCUGUGCAGAUGGGGAAAAACAUACCAAUCCUAUCACAGGGGACGUAAUCCCUAAGAGUUGAUCUGAACCCAUCUUGCUGCAGUAGAGCGUUUACUAGAGCAGCAUUUUUCAACCUUGACUGUGCAGCAGAAUCGCCUGUGGAAGUCUGAAAAAGACAGCUUUUACCCUGGACCAGCUGCAUCACAAUCUUCCCGAGCUUGCGAGUGGCAGCACUGAGCCAAGGUAUCGGCCUGGGAUUCUUGUGCUGUCACUGGAGAGCCACCCAGACUGGGAGAGAACAUCCUCUGCCCCAGCCAGGGCAAACCAGUUCCCCGAUGAUUCUCCUGUGCAGCUCACCUAACGUAUUUGUCAGGUUCUUGCUGAAGCUCAGCAUGGGAAAUUCUCAUAGUCUACGUCUACAUCUUUUGUUUUGCAUGACCAACAUCAAUUCCCCUUUCUUUUUAUUACUAUUCCCCAGCCAGCAGUUUCCUUUGGGGAGCCACCUUAAUCCAUGUGGUUGGGGGCAGAUAGCCCCUACUCUACAUCUAUAAGUAGGUAUGUUCCCUGGGCCUGGCCAUCCACCCAGGGGUGGCCUAGCCUAGGAGUGGUUCAUUUCCCUAGCUGUAGUGAUUGAGUCAGGAUGGGCACAUGACCCAAACCAGGCCAAUGAGAAUCACUUUUUCCAGAACUCUUGGGAAAGGGAAAUUCCCUUUCCCUGAUGGUACUAAGCCAAUAGGAUGUAAGCCUGGAGGCCGUUUCGCCCACAGGCCUGGAGAGCCUGCCUGAGAAUGAAGCCAAUGCAGGGGAAGUCAGAGAGAAGAGACAUACAGAAGAGAGAGACAAACGUACAGAAGGUCCCUGGACUCAGCCUGAGCUUUUUAGUUAUGCAGGCCAAUGAAUUCCUUUUUUAUUGAAUAAAAUAAAACAUCCUCAGUUAGUUUCUCUCACUCACAACCUAACCAGUUGAACACCCAUUAUCAACAACAAUAAAAACUUCCCUGAGGACUAACUGCAGUCAAGGUUUGGGAAUAAGAUCCAUGGCAUAGGCCUUUGCCUCUAAGGAUCUUACAGCUGGGUAGAAGAGAGCCUGGAUUCUAUGUUACAAGAGAAUAAAGAAUAGAAAGGAAGCAGCCCUGUUAGCCAGCAAAACUCAGUGACACUAAGGGACAUAGGAGAUAAGAGAAGGGAGAGAUUCCAGGAGGCUGGGAGACGGUCAGGGACAAUGAAGAGAUUUUGGAGGAGAAGGAACGUGAGAAGGCCCAAACUUUGUGGUGGGGAAGUGAGAAGCUGUUUCAGGCCAGGCUUGGGGGUGGGUUGGCCAGGAGCGCCCAUGUGUGGUCUGUCUGGGGAAAAUGAGGCUGGAAGGGGACGAAAUGGGC